GGCGCAGGGCGGUAGGGCCUACCAUGCAGUCGAACGGCAGCACAGUAAGAGCUUGCUCUUAUGGGUGGCGAGUGGCGGACGGGUGAGGAAUACAUCGGAAUCUACUUUUUCGUGGGGGAUAACGUAGGGAAACUUACGCUAAUACCGCAUACGACCUACGGGUGAAAGCAGGGGAUCUUCGGGCCUUGCGCGAUUGAAUGAGCCGAUGUCGGAUUAGCUAGUUGGCGGGGUAAAGGCCCACCAAGGCGACGAUCCGUAGCUGGUCUGAGAGGAUGAUCAGCCACACUGGAACUGAGAGACCACGGUCCAGAACUUCCUACGGGAGGCAGGCAGUGGAGGAAUAUUGGACAAUGGGCGCAAGCCUGAUUCCAGCCAUACCGCGGUGGGUGAAGAAGGCCUUCGGGUUGUAAAGCCCUUUUGUUGGGAAAGAAAUUCCAGCCGGCUAAUACCUGGUUGGGAUGACGGUACCCAAAGAAUAAGCACCGGCUAACUUCGUGCCAGCAGCCGCGGUAAUACGAAGGGUGCAAGCGUUACUCGGAAUUACUGGGCGUAAAGCGUGCGUAGGUGGUUGUUUAAGUCUGUUGUGAAAGCCCUGGGCUCAACCUGGGAACUGCAGUGGAAACUGGACAACUAGAGUGUGGUAGAGGGUAGCGGAAUUCCCGGUGUAGCAGUGAAAUGCGUAGAGAUCGGGAGGAACAUCCAUGGCGAAGGCAGCUACCUGGACCAACACUGACACUGAGGCACGAAAGCGUGGGGAGCAAACAGGAUUAGAUACCCUGGUAGUCCACGCCCUAAACGAUGCGAACUGGAUGUUGGGUGCAAUUUGGCACGCAGUAUCGAAGCUAACGCGUUAAGUUCGCCGCCUGGGGAGUACGGUCGCAAGACUGAAACUCAAAGGAAUUGACGGGGGCCCGCACAAGCGGUGGAGUAUGUGGGUUAAUUCGAUGCAACGCGAAGAACCUUACCUGGCCUUGGACAUGUCGAGGAACUUUCCAGAGAUGGAUUGGUGCCUUCGGGGAACUCGAACAACAGGUGCUGCAUGGCUGUCGUCAGCUCGUGUCGUGGAGAUGUUGGGUUAAGUCCCGCAACGAGCGCAACCCUUGUCCUUAGUUGCCAGCACGUAAUGGUGGAAACUCUUAAGGAGACCGCCGGGUGACAAACCGGAAGAAGGGUGGGGAAUGACGUCCAAGUCAUCAUGGCCCUUACGGCCAGGGCUACACACGUACUACAAUGGUAGGGACAGAGGGCUGCAAGCCGGCGACGGUAAGCCAAUCCCAGAAACCCUAUCUCAGUCCGGAUUGGAGUCUGCAACUCGACUCCAUGAAGUCGGAAUCGCUAGUAAUCGCAGAUCAGCAUUGCUGCGGUGAAUACGUUCCCGGGCCUUGUACACACCGCCCGUCACACCAUGGGAGUUUGUUGCACCAGAAGCAGGUAGCUUAACCUUCGGGAGGGCCGCUUGCCACCGGGGGCCCGGCGC
rnacentral:rRNA from 1 species